CAGUAGCCACGGUAAUACGUAGGGUGCAAGCGUUAAUCGGAAUUACUGGGCGUAAAGCGUGCGCAGGCGGUUAUAUAAGACAGAUGUGAAAUCCCCGGGCUCAACCUGGGAACUGCAUUUGUGACUGUAUAGCUAGAGUACGGCAGAGGGGGAUGGAAUUUUGCGUGUAGCAGUGAAAUGCGUAGAUAUGCGGAGGAACACCGAUGGCGAAGGCAAUCCCCUGGGCCUGUACUGACGCUCAUGCACGAAAGCGUGGGGAGCAAACAGGAUUAGAUACCCCAGUAGUCCCUGUCUCUUAUAA
rnacentral:rRNA from 1 species